rnacentral:misc_RNA from 1 species
GGAGAAAUUUGGGUGAAAUUUUGAAAGAGUAUGAGAGAUAUAGUAGCUGUAAAAGAAAGAAUACGCAAAUAAAAAAAGAGAAGCAAAAUAACAUUUUUUCAUGUGAUUAUAGUAGAGAAAUAAUUAAAGUAACGGCCGUUAUCGUUACAUAAAAUAGUAAAUAACAGAUGUUGCCAUUACGUAAUGGUCGUAACGAAUGUUACACAUAUAACUCCAGAUUUGCUUGUAAAUAAUAAUGGCCGUUACGUAAUUAUUUUAAACCAUGACUGCUAUCUUCAUUGUUAUUAAAUCGAGUCGAACUAGUGAUCUGGAUCCUAAAUUGAUCUGAGUUUAUAAUUUGAUUGGACAAGAAAGUGAUCUGAUUUAUCCAGCUGGUCAAACUAUUGAAUAUGUGUGACCUGAAUGGUCGGAUCUAUCAAUAGGAGCAAAAUUUUUUUUAGUGUUAGCACAGGGAAUUGAAUCCAACACUACAUAAAAGGUCUUUAAAGUCACA